rfam:Ictidomys tridecemlineatus contig012130, whole genome shotgun sequence.
CACCGUUUCAGUGGCAUUUAAAUCCCCGGCGCUCCUCUGUCUAGGUGACGCGCAGCAGCCCCCCCAGGCAGCCCAGGCGACGGCAGCAGCUGCAGCGGCUGCAACGACAGAUUCCGAGCGCUGGG